UGGACGGAACUGGAGGCUUCUUCAACAGCGACAACAGACUACUGAUUUAACCAACGUGGUGCUUUGCUAGCGAACAUAAAACCGAUUCAUUGAAGCGGUUUAGACCUAUCUUGUGUAUAUUACUCUUAGUGUUUUGAACAUACUUCUGUUUAUCUAUCUACUAGUUCAUUUAAACGUAAUUUACUUGUUAAAUUAGCAAAUGUGUUAACUUGAUACUGCACUGCACUAGGCUAAUCUCCCGGAGCAUGAGUUCACUAAGCAAGACGGAGAAAGAAGCUCUGGUGAAAUUAGAGAAAGAAGCUUUCAGAAUGAAAAAGGAAAAAGAUGCCAUAACAUUGAAAGAAGGGAAUGUAGUGAAAAAGAGGAAGAACAUUUUGGAGUGAAAAAGGAGGGGGAGACUGAAGUACCGAUUAACACCAGAGAGAGACAUGACUAUCGUGGAUCCUUUGGGGAGCAUCAACAACAUCCUGAUGCUGACGAGGCAGAGAAGAGUCUCUCCAGAUCAGAACACAAGAUGGACAACGCUAGGCCUUCCACCCUCCCGGAGUCCCCGUGUCAUGCCUCUCCCGGUAGCGCCUUACUGCUGGAUAUGAAGAGGUUGUCUAUGCUGCUGGUGGACUGCAGGAAAACAACGGGGCUGAGUGGAACUGUGAGAGGAGGAGAAGAGAAGAAAGGAUCAGAUUUGACUCAUCAAAG